GUCUGGAGCUGGCAUGUCAGUUAACUGCUAGUAGUCUGUUGUUAUUUAUGUAUUAUUGUCAUUUUGUUUAUUUUCUUUGGUUACAUCUUCUGACAUCAGACUCGGAUUUCUCUUGAACUGAAUUUUAAUGUGCGUAUUGUUAUGCGUUUACUUUACUACAUUGGUUAGAGGUAUAGAGGGAGGGUUGAGAUCUCACAAACAUGUUUAACCCCGCCGCAUUUUUGCGCCUGUCCCAAGUCAGGAGCCUCUGGCCUUUGUUAGUCUUGUAUUAUUUUAAUUUUAGUUUCUUGUGUACAAUUUGGAAAUUAGUAUGGCGUUCAUUAUCACUGGACUAGUAUAUAUUUGUUUAGGGGCCAGCUGAAGGACGCUUCCGGG
rnacentral:lncRNA from 1 species